rnacentral:lncRNA from 1 species
AAUGCAGCUGUUUCCACAUGGCCCUCUCUGGGACUGUCAUACCAGCACAAUCCCAUAGCCGGGUAUCCUUGAGUCAUGUAUUGGCUCACUUAGGAGAGGUUCUGCAGCUCUCGGAUGGUCAGUUCUCUGGUUAGCAAGAUGUAUCUGAUAGGUGACAUUUCUAAGUGGACUCCAGGCCAGAGACACGUUGUAAGAUUCCCUAUGUGAAUGGUUCAGUGGUGAGGGCCUUGGAGCUACAUGGCUUCACUGGGUCUAGGUCUUUUCUCUCCAAUACUAGUAUUUGAUCAGGGGACCCCACACCUCCCAACUUGGUUCAACCUGGCUUCUCUACCUUUUACCUGCUACCACCCCAAACUCUGCCCUCUUUUCUUGGGUCUCCUUCUUACCGUGUUUCACAGAUUUGUCUCCUGCCUCCCGAGGGCCUGCCUCUGACAGUAACAUCCUCGUAGCCACCUCCUGGCUCAGCUCAUUGUCCCUUCCUCUAGGUACUCCAGUUCCCUUCUCCCUCCCAUGCCCUCCUUUUCCCUCUCCCUCAUUUCUUCCUUCCUUCCUUCCUUCCUUCCUUCCUUCCUUCCUUCCUUCCUUCCUUUUUUUCUUCCUUCCUUCCUUCCUUCCUUUCUCCCUUUAUCCCUUCUUCCUUCCUUCUUCAUUGCUUCCUUCCUCCCUUCCUUCCCCAUCAAUAUUCCUGGAUUAUCCCCAGACAUCUCUUUUUGCACCUCUUGUCCUGAUCCACUAAGGGAUUCUUUGGACCAAACAUCACCAGGUGUACCACCCUCCCACUGUUGGCUGCCCUAUUCUUACCUACACUUCUGUGUUCCCAGGGUGGCUUCAAUUUUACAUGUGUCUUGUUAAUUGAGUUUCCAAAAUGAAUUACCUACAAUAAAACUAGGGCAUUUCUAUCCCUUCCCAAAGAGUCAUGAUAUGCUCCUACUCUGUGUUGGGGUGUGGAUUAGAGCCCUGGGUAGUGGGCUCCAUGGAGAGCAGCUAGCUCUUCAUCUGUAUGCUUAUCCUAGGCCUGUGGUGACCCCUCAGCCACCAGCAGUUGCAUUUGUCCUCUUACGGCAGACUCUGUGGCUGCAGAAGUUGGUAUUGUGGGCUUCUCUUCAGAGCUGGAUGUAGGUAGCUUCUGGGGGUACUUCCGGCCAGCACUGGCCACCCUGUCAAGCUUAAUGUCCAGUGAGCAAGGGAGAGGUUGGCUGACUCGUGGUUGAAGCUCAGGCUGUAGGUGAUAAGGAAAGAGGACACUAAACUUUGGUAAAAGCAAGGCUGUGAGGCAGGAAGUGAGUGUAGCAAGAAAACAGACGAUCUGGCAGUAAGCCAUCACUGGGGGAUUUGAGAGAGCCUGUGCCCCUCUAUGCAGGUCCUCCAGGACUGCAGUUCUGCAUUUCGGUUGUUUUUUGUUUUCAAGACAGGGUCCUCACUCUGUAAACCAGUUUGCAUUGGAGCUCAAAGUUAUCUGGCUGCCUCUGCCUUCUGACUGCUGGGAUUAGAGCUGUGUGCCAUCGCCAAGGCUCUGUCUCUAUUUCUUGUUCCUGAAGCCCCUCCCAGACUGGACUUAGCCUAUAGUGUUCUAUCAACUCGGAGGUUCUUAGACAUGCCACCAGUCAAGAGAUUGAGGCUUAAGAGUGAUUUGGGGAUGCUUCUUCUUUGAGUAGAAAAUAAAAUCUAAGGGGACUGGGAUCCUGGAGAGAGGGAUCUUGUUGUUCUUGCAGAGGAUCCCAGUUCAGUCCUGUUCCCUACACCCACAUGGUGGCUCACAACUUCUGUAACUCCAGUUCCAGGGAUCGACAUACUAUUCAGGCCUCUACAGGUACCAGGCAACCUCAGAAAGUAUUAUAUAACAAGAAAAACAUUUGUAACAUACUAUAUAAAUAAAUAUUCUUAAAGCUUUGAAAGAGAAAAAAGGAAAAGAAGGUAUGGACACAUUUCGACAUCUUAAAACUGCAAAUGACCUUUAAUCCCAGCACUUGGGAGGCAGAGUCAGGAGGGUUUCUGAGUUCGAGGCCAGCUUGGUCUACAAAGUGAGUUCCAGGGCAGCCAGGGCUAUACAGAGAAACACCGUCUC